rnacentral:lncRNA from 1 species
CCAAUGGUUUAUUUAAAUGGCGAUUUUUGCUUGUGCUUUGUUUAAAUGGCGACUUCUGCCAGAAUGAUUGAUUGAUGAGUUUCAUCCCGAGAAAUGGCGACUUCUGCCUAUGCUAUGAUUGAGGGCAACUCCUGCCAAUGGUUUGUUUAAAUGGCGACUUCUGCCAGAAUGGUUGAUUGAUGGGUUUUAUCCUAAGAGAUGGCAACUUCUGCCAGGUUUUCUGAUCGGUGGGCUUUAUCUCCAAGGAAUGAUUACUUAACCAUCAACUG